rnacentral:rRNA from 1 species
AGUGAACGCUGGCGGUAGGCCUAACACAUGCAAGUCGAACGGCAGCACAGUAAGAGCUUGCUCUUACGGGUGGCGAGUGGCGGACGGGUGAGGAAUACAUCGGAAUCUACUUUUUCGUGGGGGAUAACGUAGGGAAACUUACGCUAAUACCGCAUACGACCUACGGGUGAAAGCAGGGGAUCUUCGGACCUUGCGCGAUUGAAUGAGCCGAUGUCGGAUUAGCUAGUUGGCGGGGUAAAGGCCCACCAAGGCGACGAUCCGUAGCUGGUCUGAGAGGAUGAUCAGCCACACUGGAACUGAGACACGGUCCAGACUCCUACGGGAGGCAGCAGUGGGGAAUAUUGGACAAUGGGCGCAAGCCUGAUCCAGCCAUACCGCGUGGGUGAAGAAGGCCUUCGGGUUGUAAAGCCCUUUUGUUGGGAAAGAAAAGCAGCAGGUUAAUACCCCGCUGUUCUGACGGGACCCAAAGAAUAAGCACCGGCGAACUUCGG